AUAAUUUUCAGUGUAGUUCUUUCACCUCCUUGGUUAAAUUUAAUCUUAGAUAUGUAUGCAUUCCAGUGUAAUUAACAUACAGUGUUAUAUUAGUUCAGGUGUAUGAUACAGUGAAUCAACAAUUCUUAUACAUUCCUGAGUGCUCCUCAUAAUAAGUGUACUCUUAAUCCCCUUCACCAAUUUUCACACAUCGCCCCAUCUACCUCCCCUCUGGGAACCAUCGCUUCUCCAUGGUUAAGAGUCUAGUUUUUUUGUCUCUUUUUUUCUUUGUUCAUUUGUUUUGUUUCUUAAAUUGCACAUCUGAAUGAAAUCAUACAGUAUUUAUCUUUUCUUGGACUGACUGCACUUAGUGUUAUACUCCAGAUCCAUCCAUGUUGCAUAUGGCAAGAUUUUCUUCCUUUUUAUGGAUGAGUCAUAUUUGAGUGUGUGUCACAUCUUCUUUAUCCAUUCAUCUAUCAAUAGACCCUUGGGCUGCUUGCAUUUUAAGCAAUUCACGAAAGAUAUGUAUUUAUUGCCAUUUUGCUUGUUUUAUGAAGUUCUUUUCUGUUCCUUCUCUCUUUUCUCACUGUUUGCUGGCUUUUAGUGAUAUACUUGGAUUCCUUUAUUUUUUUGCAUAUCUAGUAUUGAUUUUUGAUUUGUGGUUACCAUUAGGUUUGUAUAUAACAUGUAUACAUUACAUCAGUCUACAUUAAGUUGAUGGUCCCUUAAGUUUGAAUCCAUUAUUUACUCCCCCAUACACAUUUAAAGUUUAUAGUGUCAUACUUUAUAUGCUUUUAUUUUGUGAAUCUCUUGACUGAUUUUCAUAGAUACUUAAUUUUACUACUUUUGUGCUUCCUGCUUUUCUUACUCCUAUUUAUUGUCCCUCCUUUCCAUUCAGAGAGUCCCCUUUGACAUUUUUUAUAUAGCUAGUGUAGUGGUCAUGAAUUCCUUUAACUUUUGUCUGGGAAACCCUCUUAUUCUGAACCAUAACCUUGCUGUAAAGCGUAUCCUCGGCUGCAGGUUUCAUCUUUUCAGCACUUUGAAUAUAUCAUGCCACUCCUCUCUGGCCUGUAAACAUUUCUGUUGAAAAUCAUAUAAUUGCCUUACAGGGUUUCCCUUAUAUGUAACUGUUUUCCCUUGUGGCUUUUAAAGUUCUCUUUAUUACUACUCUUUGCCAUUUUAAUUACCAUGUGUCUUGGUGUGGACUUCCUUGGGUUGAUUUUGUUAGGGGCUCUCUGUGCCUCCUGGAUCUGGAUUCGUUUCCAUCCCCAGAUUUGGGGAACUUUUCAGCUAUUUCCUAAAAUAAACUUUCUGCCCCCCUUUGUAUUUCUUCUUCUGGGAUUCCUGUAAUGCAAAUAUUGUUAGGCUGAUAGUGUUGCUGAAUUCCCUAAGUAUAUUUUCAUUUUUCAUUUUUUUUCUUGUUCUGUUUGAUUGCUUUCUAUUAUUCUGUCCUCCAAGUCAUUGAUCUGUUCUACUUCCUAUAUUUAUUCCAUCUAGUGUAUUAUGCAUUUUAUUUAUUGAGUUCUUUAUCUCUGAUUAGUUCUUUUUAUGUUUUCUCUCUCUUUAAGGGUCUUCCUGAGGUCCUCCACUCUUUAGUCCAGUAGAGUAUCUUUAUAACUAUUACUUAAAUUAUUAAUCAGGCAUAUAUAUUACUUAUCUCCAUUAUGUUUAGCUCUCUUGCUAUGAUUUUGUCUUGUUCUUUCAUUUGUGACAUAUACCUUUAUCACCUCAUUUUGUCUAUGUGUCUCUUUCUAUGUGUUAGGAAAGUCAGCUACCUCUUCUGCUCUUGAAAGUAGUGGCCUUAUGAAGAAGCGGUCCUGUAGUGUCCUGCAAUGUCCCAUUUACCAGAAUCUGGUGCUUCUGGGGUUUCUACUAUGUGUGUUGUGAGAGCCCUGUUAACCGUGGCUGAGCUGCUUUUGCCUUCAGUUGUCAGCAGUGGUUGUCUGUUGUGGGCGGGGUUUGAUCUCUGUGUUAGUGGGCAAGUCUUGGGCCACCUCUGGCUUGAGGUGAGCCAGACCAAGGAUUUGUCAGAGAUGCAGUAGCACUCAACUACAGGCACUUUUCCUUGCAUUGACCCCUGAGAAGAUUUGUUGGUGGAUAGGGCCUGCAGUCAGACCAGAUGUCUGCUCCCAGCCCAUUGCUGAGAUCACAGACUAGUGUGUGGGGUUAUCUUCCCCUCCCCUGGGGCAGGAGUCACUUUGGAGUGGUGCUGGCACCUGUUGGGGCCACUUGCACAUUACCAGGCUUGUGACACUGCUUUGGAUGGGCUCUGGCCAAUGGUGCAUUGGAAGAAGCAGGUCCAUAGAAUGCCGGAGCACAUGGUUGUAGCAGGGUUUGUGCAGGUCUGCUGUGGAAGAGAUCUGUAGCUACCUAAAAGUCCUGCCAAGGCUGCCAGGUUGGAGUGGGUAGAUCCACAGAAGUGUGGGGCUGGGUGCACAAUGUCAUCAAGCUACCUGGAAAAUGGUGUGCUCUGCUGGUUCCUACAGGUGUCUGUGUAUGUUUGGCUCUGGCAGGGGGGAGGGGAUGGCAUUCACCAGCUCCCUUGUUCUUGGAGAAGUCUCCCAAGGAUCCCUGCCCCUCCAGCACAUGCUGCUGUAUUAGUAAACCAAUCUCCUCCCUAUUGUAUAUCCCAGGUGUUUCUCAAACUGCUACUUCUGUUUUAUCUCCAUGGGGCUGUUUCUUGUAUGGUCUACUUAAGGAUAGAGUCCAUUUCCUAUUGUCCUCCCAGAGCUGAGCCCUCCUAUUUUUAAAGUCCCAAGCAUCAGGCUGCACUGAUUUAAGGACUAGUGGAGUUAUGAUGCUCCCUGCUUUUCAAAGCUAAAUGAAAAGUUGAUUUAUCUUUCCUGUCUGGGCUCCCCAUGCUCGGGGUGAGGACCUCCUCCUUUCCCCUGUCUGUGGCACCCCUCCCUUCCCUGGACAGUCAGUUUAGCUCCCAUCCGGGUCUCCCCCUUCCUACCCACUUCAGUGUGGCCUCUUCUACAUUUAGCUGUGGAGAGUCUUCUCUGUCCUGUGUUAUUCUUUUUAAUGAAGUUAUAAACAGGGAUUUAAAAAAUUUCUCCUCCUGCUAGUUCAUUAUUAGUGUAUGGAAAUGAAACAGUUUCUGUUUAUUAAUUCUGUAUCUUGCAACUUUUACUGAGUUCAUUUAUUAUUAUAGUGGUGUUGGGGGUUUUUUUUGGUUUUGGUUUUUGGUCUCUAGGGUUUUCCGUGUAACAGGGUUUGUGUAGGUCUGCUCUGGGAAGGGACCUGCAGCCCACCUAAAACUCCCAUUGAGGCUGCAGAUCCCCUCCCAUAGCAGACCUGCACAAAUUGUGUCACCUGCAAAUAGUGACAGUUUUACUACCUCUUUACCAAUCUGGAUGCCUUUUGUUUUCCUUACAUGAUUGUUAUGGCUCAGACCUCUGUACUGUGUUGAAUAAACCUGGGGAGAGCAGACAUCUUUAUUCCUGUACCUGAUCUUAGAGGAAAAACCCUCAGCUUUUCAUGAUGGGGUAUGUUAGGGGCUUGGGCUUUUAUAAUGAUGAAGUAUGUUCUUUCUAUACCGUGUUCAGUUAUAAUCAUGAAUAGGUGUUGAAAUUUGUCAAAUUUUCUGCGUCUAAUGAGAUGAUCAUCAUUUUUAAUUCUUCAUUUUGUUAAUGUAGUGUGUCACAUUGAUUGAUUUGCAGAUACUGAACUAUCUUUGCAUCCCUGGAAUAAAUCCAUUUGAUCUUGGCUCUUUUCAAACUGCUGCCUCGGUGCUGGAUCUCAGAGUGAUGAAGAGUAAAGCCUCAGUUUUCUAUAGCCUUCUGGCUCUCCCAGAGGUAAGCCCCACAGAUUUCCACAACUAGACAGUAUGGGCACUCAUCUUCUUGGUGCAUACCCCACCCAGGGACAGGCUUGACCACACUCUGCCCCUCCUGCCCUUCUCACUGCAGCUUUUUGUGUCUAGUUGUGUAAGAGCUGUUCUGCUAAGUCUUUGGGUCAUUUUCUCAGUGAGUUGCAUGUUGUGUAGUUGCAUCACUGGUGUGUCCGUGGGAGGAGGUUAAUUCAGGGCCUUCUUACUCUGCCAUCUUCCCAGGAGUUCCUGUGGGUGCCCUGGGGUCACCUGCUCAUGGUGCUUGUGCAUAACACGGUAUAGUAGCUGUGCACCUUCUGCUGUGUGGUCCUGCGGUGCCCAAGUGUGCCUGAGCCAUGGCACCCACAUCUUCUGUGUUGGUGAGAGCUAGGUAUAUACCAGUAUAUUCUAAGUCCUGUCAAGAGCUGCUUUUGAUAGAAAAGUUAAUUGAACCAUCUACUUUUUAUAAAUCUGUGGUGGUUCAGGCAACAUUCCAGACUUGAGGCCCUCAAAUUAGGGAACAGUGGCUCUUUAAAAGUAAACACCUUUUCAAGGUUCUUUUCCUAAUUAAAAAAAUAAAAAGCACACACAUGUGACAGAUGUUACUUGGAUUUUUGUUUCUCAAUAAAGGCCAGUCUGAAGGCCACUUGUGCACAGACACUGCUACUCUUAGGAACAAGAUUGGAUUUUAACGCUCUGACAAUUCCUCCUCCACUGUCGCAAAAAUUUGGGUAGAGGCCAAAGCUUAAACCAACUUGUAUAUGUAAAAAUAAAACAAAAAAAGCAAGGCAGGUCUUUCUGGACUUGGCUUCAAAGCACCAAUCAUGUCCUUGUUUGCAGAGGAAGCCUGAGGGCCAGCUCAGUCAGAUGACCCAUAUCUGGUUGUUUGCUUCGCCUCUUGAUGUAUUCCAGAGUUUUCACCUAGGAGGAAAAAGAACUAUCAGAAUCCUUUCUGGUUCACCAAGGUACCAACCAAUCAAGCAUAUUGUGAGCUUAUGCUUUCUUACAGCUGAAGUCUUUUUAUGGAGAAAGGAGGAGGAAAAAACCAACUAAGUCUUUAAGUAAAACUUCUUAGAUUACAAUUUGCUUAUAAACUCAGAUUUUGGUGUGAUCAGGAAUCACUGAUACUUUUAUAUAUGUAUCUUAUUCAGAAGAAAAAGAAGAGGAAGAGACUGGAUUUGUUCAGGCCAGUUGUACUCUGGCCACUGGGUUUAUGUGGCUCACCAGGACCCCCAUGCCUCACCAUGGUCCUGGUAUCUGCACAGCCAUGCCUCUGUGCCAGGUGCCACAGGUUGACAGAGAGCUGGUUGAGUCUGUUGUUGCGCAGGUCCCCGUGGGCCAAGAUGCUAUUAAAGAAGGAAAGGCCCAGUGAGCUCUGGCGCUUGAGAGCCUGAAAAAGAAGAGAGAGAUUACUAUCUGGCAGUGGGGCUCAUGUGGGGCUGUGCCCAGUGUUGAUGCUGGCUCUACCAGGGACCUUCUGGAGGGUAAGCUGCUUAACCUCCCAAGUCCCGCCUUCAGCUAUAGGAGAGUAAGGAAAUGCCCUCAUAGGGUGAGGACUGAAUGAGAUGAGGCAUAUAAAAUCCUUCUUUCUGGGCAGCCCAGGUGGCUCAGCGGUUUAGUGCCUGCCUUCGGCCCAGGGCGUGAUCCUGGGGACCUGGGAUCGAGUCCCACGUUGGGCUCCCCGCAUGGAGCCUGCUUCUCCCUCUGCCUGUGUCUCUGCCUCUCUCUGUCUCUCAUGAAUAAAUAAAUAAAAUCUUAAAAAAAAACAAAAAACAAAAAAAAAACUUCGUUCUGUGCCUCCCACAUGAGUAUUACUGAAAUGGAAGAAGUGAUACUUACAUGAGAUUCCACACAUGGCAAGGUAAAGGAACAAAGUGACAGGGCUUCUUGCAAGUACAGAUGAAAACUGAAAGGCUACAAGAAAAUGUCUUUCUGGUAUGUCCUCAAGCCACCCAAAGUUAGUCCAGCAACCAAAGGGCAGGAAUAAAGACCAAAUGACAGCUCCCCAUAGACAACACUCCCCAGUGCUUGGGGGCCAGGCCCAGGUUUCAUAAGAACUUAAUACCAAGUCUCACCUCUGAUUAGAGGUACCUAAAACAAGGAAUGUCUAACCACAAGGUCUAGGUAGACCAAACCUGAAUAUUAAAUACCAGGCCUAGGAGAAAGGAUACAAGUUCCGAAAGAUAAACAGAGGCAUGCGGGAAGGCCAAGUGAACCAGGGAGCCAGGUUCUGUCACAAGUCCAUGGGGACCCCAGAGAGCUAACGACCUGGGCCCUUGCUAGAUGCCCAUGGCUCACAAUGCAAGAACAUCAGUGAGUCCAGCAAAGCAUCUGCUUUCCUCCCUGGCAGCUAAUGAGAAAGAGGCCUUUAAAGUGGCCCAGGUAUUCUGAGCUCACAGCUCAUCUUAUUUAAUCUACAUGGCAAAUCUUUGUGGGAAGCACAUUUCUAGCCAGCUUAGGCACAUGGUAGGCACAUCUGUAGCACUGUCUCCCAGGAUCCCAACCCCUGGUUAGUCAAGCACUAUGCUGGGUGCUGGGGUGAAGGGACUUUGCAGAUGUAAUUAAAGUUGUGGACCUUGGAGAAUUCUGGAUUAUCUGGGUGGGCCCAGUCUAAUCUCUUGAGCCCUAAAAGGCAGAGAAAUUUCUGAGAGACCAGGAACAGAAGAGGAUGCAGAAGUGGGCCAAAAGCCAAGAAAUGGCAGGCAACUUCUAGACACUAAGAACAACCUGCAGCCAACAGGCAGCAAGGAAACAGGACCUCAGUCCUACUGGAUGAAACUCAAGUCCGCCAAUACCCUAAAGAAGCCAGCCAGUCAACACUUCGGUUUUGACCUUAUGAAGCCUUGCCAGUGCCAACUCACCAAACCGAAAUAAUAAAUUAAUACUCUUGAGUUUGCAGCAGCUUUUUUUAAGGCUGCAAGGAGGAAUCCAAUCCGCUCCCAUUUUGCAGAAGCAGUCAAAGCUCAGAAAGCUUUGGGGAACUUGCUCACGGACCACUGCUAAGUACAAAGCAGGGAUUUGAGCUCCAGUCUUCCGACCCCAGAGCCUGUGCCUUCCCCCACUCUAGCUGAUAAAAUAUUCCCACAGACCCAGUGUUAGCAUCACAUUAGGAGUCCAAAUUCUGAAGAGGCUAAGAGUUCCUUUUCUCAACUAUUCAAGAUGGACAAAACCAACCUACCAACGAUCUGUCCAUCCAUUCCACAAAUAUUCAUGGGAGCCAGACUCUGCUAACUGCUGAACCAACUUAAUCCCUCCUGCUGUCCUCUGCCAAGUGAGAAUUUAAAACUUCUUGGUGGAGGAAAAAAACCCACACUGCCAGGGAGCAGCUCAGAGCACAGCUGAGUGAAGGUGGCUGAGUGGCACUGAAGAGACCUCCACUGGACGCCCAGUUGAGCCUGCCUGUCACAGAAGCAGCCGAGCUGACUGAACAUUACCAUCCAGAAAAGGACUGGGGUCAUGCUGUGCAGCGCCCAAGCCUCCAGGCACUUGGGGGAAAGCGGCCCCCCGUCUGGCACAGACUCAUUAAGUGGCUGGCAAAUGCCUGCUUGGGGUCCUUUAUCUAAUCAGACAAUACGGUGGUUCUACCCCAACCAGGAACCCGGGCAGAGAUGACCAUUCAGUGGGUCCCAGCCCAACCUGCUGCUGCCUGCCUUUUAAGCUGGCCCUUGUCUGACAGCUGGGACAACAGGAGGGUGCGUUUUCUGCUUCUAUCUACAGGACAAAGCUAAAAUAAAUUCUAUUUCAAAUACAACUAAGAGUCUCCCCUGAGAGAAGUCCUUUAACUACAUUUCAUUGAAGUGGGAGAGAUGGUUUGAAAGAGAAGCGAGACAAUAUCUGAACUAGCUAUUUCUCCCUUCUGUAUCUUCUCAGUAAGCAUUUUACCCUAAAAAGCUCAAUCCACAUGUUUCAGAUGCAAGGCCCAUUAAAAGUGAAAUCAUUAGAGAGACAGAUCUGAGGGGUGAGAAGUCAUGCCAGCCAACAUGCGAAGACCCAAAAAACCCACAAACACAUUAUAAGAACCAAAUCAGGGCCUUAAGCCCCUCCUCUUCCCCAGAGGUUUUAAAUAGAAAAGAACUUCUUUUCAUUCUUUUCCUAUGAGAACUCUCAUUUCCAGGAAGCUCCAUGGGUCUGGCAUGAUUCCCAGCCUCACCACACCCAAACAAACAACUUCCUAAAGCUCAUGAGUAAACUGGCUAUCGCCUUCAUGUAGAUUUAGAGGAAAGUUUUGUAAGCAGGGCUGCUAGCAGCACCAAGAGAUGAUCCACUCAGGACUGGCAUCCACACUGGGGUUUUUCAACAGCCUGAAGCUUUGCUCUCCACCUGGUAGAGCAAUCUGAUCCCUUCUUCCCAGGUACCAGACCCAAUGAUUCUGUCUGCAGGACCCCCGCCAUGACGUGCCUGCCUAUGCUGACUUUCACGUUGCAUUGUUAAAAUGAAGGAUGGUAUGUUCCAUUUUAGCUCGGUCCACCCUUAUUUUUCUAAUAAGUGUGUGUAUAUGGAAGGACAUUUUCACCAAAUGUUCCUGGUAUUUAUGUGAGCUGAAAUGUUCUUUGGAAGAAUUCCAACUUUGCUAUUUUUUCAGAAUCCUAUUUCAGAGUCCUUAUUGGAAUCAAUGCCCCCUCCCCCAAGAGAAAGAUACAUUAAAUACAAUUACAGCAGUGUCCCCCCAUAGCUGCAAAAAUAUGUUCCAAGACUCCCAGAAAAUGCCUGAAACUAUAGACAGAACUGAACCUUUUAUGUACUGUUUUUUCCUAUAUAUAACAUACCUCUGAUAGUUUAUAAGUUAGGCACAGUAAGAAAUUAACAAAAUAGAAUUGUAUACCAUAAUAAAAGUUCUGUUAACGUGGUCUCUUAAAAGACUACUGUACUGGGGCACCUGAGUGGCUCAGUGGAUGAGCAUCUGCCUUUGGCUCAGGUCGUGAUCCUGGGGUCCUGGGAUUGUGUCCCAGAUCAGAGUCCCCACAGGGAGCCUGCUUCUCCCUCUGCCUAUGUCUCUGCCUCUUUCUGUGUGUCUCAAGAGUAAAUAAACACAAUUUAAAAAAAUAAAACUACUGUACUCUUCUUAUACUGAUGAUGUGAUAAAAUGCCUAUGUGACAUGAGGUAAAUGAAGAAGGCACGGUGGCCUAGCAUUAGGCUCUUGACCCGAUCAGACGUCAGGGGGUGGUAGUUGGCCCCAGGUAACAAACUUUGCAUGGUGGCAGGGUGGAGGGUAACAACUACUAGAAUACUUCUUGGCUUUAUUUUUAUCGAGAGCUUGAGGGUUGUUCUAGGCUAUGGUCAUUUAUGCUGUAAGCAGCCACCUCUGAUUAAACCCAGACUGUUGCAUCAGGGUAAAGAAAUGUAUGUUCAAGCCAUGUAGCAAAUUUUUCUUGGGUAUAACCUGGUGAACACACAGUACUGCUCUACGAGGUCCCUGGGCUAGAAAUAGAGCCAGAACCCAUGGUUUUAAAGAUCAGGAAAAGGCUGGGGCGCCGUGGGUGGCUCAUUCAGUUAACCAUCUGCCUUCGGCUCAGGUCAUGAUCCCAAGGUCCUAGGAUCAAGCCCUGCAUCAAGCUCCCCACACUCAGUGGGGAGUCUGCUUCUUCCUCUGCCUGUGUCUCUGCCUGCCUCUCUCUCUCUGUCUCUCAUGAAUAAAUAAAAUCUUUAAAAAAAAAAUCAGGAAAAGGCACCUAAAAAGAAUGUUUCAC